rnacentral:rRNA from 1 species
AUGUCGCAGGAGGAGGUCCACGACGCCGGCCUGGCGCUGGGCCUGUCCCUGGGCGGCGGCGGCGGGGGCGGAGGCGACGGGUCGUCGUCGGCGCACCGCGGCAGCAACAGCGGCCGGCUGACCCUGUGGGAGGCGGAGCCGUCGCUGACCCUCAGCAUGCCGGACGACACCACCAUGACCGGCACCGCGUCCGGCGGCGUGUCGUCCAUGUCGGUGGGGGGCGCGGUGAAGAGGGAGCGCGCGGAGGAGGCGGAGCUGGGCGAGAUGGUGUCGUCCACGGCCGUGGGUGCCGAGGAGGACGACGACGGCAGCACGCGGAAGAAGCUGAGGCUCACCAAGGAGCAGUCCGCGCUCCUGGAGGACCGCUUCAAGGAGCACAGCACCCUCAACCCGAAGCAGAAAGUGGCUUUAGCCAAGCAGCUAAACCUCAGGCCAAGGCAGGUGGAAGUCUGGUUCCAGAACAGAAGAGCCAGGACGAAGCUGAAGCAGACGGAGGUGGACUGCGAGUUCCUGAAGCGCUGCUGCGAGACGCUCACCGAGGAGAACCGCCGGCUGCAGCGGGAGCUGCAGGAGCUCCGCGCCAUCAAGUUCGCCCCGCCGCCGCCGCCGCCCAACAACGCCAGCCAACACCCCGGGACGCCGUCCUCCGCCGCGGCCCCGCCGGCGCCGUUCUACAUGCAGCUGCCGGCCGCGACGCUGACCAUCUGCCCGUCCUGCGAGCGCCUGGGAGGAACCGCCGCCGCCGCCACCGGCAAGGUCGACCCCGACAGGCCCAAGGCCGCCACCCACCACUUCUUCAACCCCUUCACCCACUCCGCCGCCUGCUGA